AUGGACGAGCUGCUCUCCCCGUGCUCAUCCUUCUUGCCACCACCGCCGCCUCCCCAGCUCGCCACUGCGGACGAGAACCACCAUGAGGUCCUCGAGUUUACCUCCUGCGAGGUCCCCGAGCAAUGGCUGCUCGGCGACGUCGUCGCGGCGGCCAAGAGCGAGGAGGGAGACUACUUGGGGCCUGAGGGGAGCUCCUCGCUCUCCCCGGACACCGAGCUGCCGCCGGCGAGCCUACAGGCUUCAGCGAAGAAGCGGCGUGGGCGGAAGCCGGGGCCGCGGCCGGAGGGCCCCACCCCCAGCCACGUCGAGGCCGAGCGGCAGCGCCGCGAAAAGCUGAACCGCCGGUUCUGCGAUCUCCGCGCCGCCGUGCCUACCGUGUCUCGCAUGGACAGGACCUCCCUCCUCGCCGACGCCGCCGCCUACAUAGCCGAGCUACGCUCCCGCGUCGCGCAGCUCGAGGACGAGGGUCGGCAGGCGGCCGCCUCGAGAUGGGACUGGGAGGUGUCGAACGCAUCGGCUUCUUCGUCCCGAAGCGGCCACGCCGGCUCCAUGCACCACCCGGCCUGCGACGAUGUGGUGGAGGUGCGGAUGGUGGGGAAGGAUGCAGCGGCGGUGCGCGUAACGAGCGCGGGAGGAGCCCCACACGCGCCGGCGCGGCUGAUGGGCGCGCUCAGGUCGCUAGAGCUGCAGGUGCAGCACGCGUGCGUGAACUGCGUGGAGGGCGUGACGGUGCAGGACGUCGUCGUCGACGUGCCCGCUGCGCUCCAGGACGACGGCGUCCUCCAGUGCGCUCUGCUUCAGAGGCUCCGCGACAACUCCUAG
rnacentral:rRNA from 1 species